rnacentral:rRNA from 1 species
UGGGGAAUAUUGCACAAUGGGGGAAACCCUGAUGCAGCGACGCCGCGUGAGUGAAGGAGUACCUCGGUACGUAAAGCUCUAUCAGCAGGAAAGAAAGAGGACGGUACCUGACUAAGAAGCCCCGGCUAACUACGUGCCAGCAGCCGCGGUAAUACGUAGGGGGCAAGCGUUAUCCGGAUUUACUGGGUGUAAAGGGAGCGUAGACGGCAUAGCAAGUCCGGAGUGAAAGCCCGCGGCCCAACCGGGGGACUGCUCUGGAAACUGUCAGGCUGGAGUGCAGGAGAGGUAAGCGGAAUUCCUAGUGUAGCGGUGAAAUGCGUAGAUAUUAGGAGGAACACCAGUGGCGAAGGCGGCUUACUGGACUGUAACUGACGUUGAGGCUCGAAAGCGUGGGGAGCAAACAGG